rnacentral:rRNA from 1 species
CGUAGGUGGCGAGCGUUAUCCGGAAUUACUGGGCGUAAAGCGCACGCAGGCGGUCUUUUAAGUUUGACGUGAAAGCUCCCGGCUUAACUGGGAGAGGUCGUUGAAUACUGGGAGACUUGAGGCAAUGAGAGGGGUGUAGAAUUCCCGGUGUAGUGGUGGAAUGCGUAGAUAUCGGGAGGAAUACCAGUGGCGAAAAGCGGCACCCUAGCGUUGUACUGACGCUCAUGUGCGAAAAGCGUGGGGAGCAAACGGGAUU